GUCUAGAUAGCUUAGCAGGUUAGAGUAAAGGACUGAAAAUCCUUGGGUCGGAGGUUCAACUCCUCCUCUAGACA
rnacentral:tRNA from 1 species